GACGAACGCUGGCGGCGUGCUUAACACAUGCAAGUCGAACGGAAAGGCCCUGCUUGCAGGGUACUCGAGUGGCGAACGGGUGAGUAACACGUGGGUGAUCUGCCCUGCACUUCGGGAUAAGCUUGGGAAACUGGGUCUAAUACCGGAUAGGAGCCAUCUUUAGUGUGGUGGUUGGAAAGUUUUUUCGGUGUAGGAUGAGCUCGCGGCCUAUCAGCUUGUUGGUGGGGUAAUGGCCUACCAAGGCGGCGACGGGUAGCCGGCCUGAGAGGGUGUACGGCCACAUUGGGACUGAGAUACGGCCAAGACUCCGACGGGAGGCAGCAGUGGGGAAUAUUGAACAAUGGGCGCAAGCCUGAUGCAGCGACGCCGCGUGGGGGAUGAAGGCCUUCGGGUUGUAAACUCCUUUCGCUAGGGACGAAGCUUUUUGUGACGGUACCUAGAUAAGAAGCACCGGCUAACUACGUG
rnacentral:rRNA from 1 species